GCCGGCCUUCGAACAACAGCGACGCAAGAUGGCAGCCACCACAGGCUCGGGAGUAAAAGUCCAUCGCAAUUUUCGACUGUUGGAAGAACUGGAAGAAGGCCAGAAAGGAGUAGGAGAUGGCACAGUUAGCUGGGGUCUAGAAGAUGACGAAGACAUGACACUUACAAGAUGGACAGGGAUGAUAAUUGGGCCUCCAAGAACAAUUUAUGAAAACCGAAUAUACAGCCUUAAAAUAGAAUGUGGACCUAAAUACCCAGAAGCACCCCCCUUUGUAAGAUUUGUAACAAAAAUUAAUAUGAAUGGAGUUAAUAGUUCUAAUGGAGUGGUGGACCCAAGAGCCAUAUCAGUGCUAGCAAAAUGGCAGAAUUCAUAUAGCAUCAGAGUUGUCCUGCAAGAGCUCCGGCGCCUAAUGAUGUCUAAAGAAAACAUGAAACUCCCUCAGCCACCUGAAGGACAGUGUUACAGCAUUAAUUAAAAAGAGAAACCACAGGCCCUCCCCACUCCCCCAUUCGAUUUAAGCAGUCAUUUUUCACAGUAGUACAUUUUCUAGAUACGUCUUGUAGACCUCAAAGUACUGGAAAGGAAGCUCCCAUUCAAAGGCAAUUUAUCUUAAGAUACUGUAAACGAUACUAAUUUUUUGUCCAUUUGAAAUAUAUAAGUUGUGCUAU